rnacentral:lncRNA from 1 species
CCUGCCUCCUCAUCGUACACUCCAACAAGUUGUGGACAAUUUCUUUUGUCAUGCGACACUCCAACAAUCCCACAGCCCCUGCAUUUCCUAGCCUUCUUGAUAGCCUUCUCUUUUCCUCCCUUUAGUCGUUUACCACAACCCUUUGUCCUUAUCGAAGAUGGUUCUUUGAGACAGGAUACAUCAAUAAUAUGACAGUAUAUAAUGCUUGCCUACUUAUUUGAAAGGUCAUGAAUUAAUAUGACAUGAGUAGGUUGGCCCUCGUAUAGUCGUAUCUUAUGAUUUGAUUAUUUGAUCUGAAUUAAUUAUUACAAAUUUACACAUAAUUUGGGGUGGUUAAGUUUUUCUUGCAAUAAAUAUAGUUGGGUCAUUAACAAUUUUCAUAAUCAAGUUUUAAAACCAGAGAAAUCGGACAGUUAAUGCACCUUUCUGUUAUUUUAAAAAAGAAAAGAAAAGAAAAACAGAUCAUCAAGAAUUACUCACUAGAAGACAAAUUAAAGAGUACAUAGUACUUUCACCUCAAAUUCAGUUUGAAUGGCCAUUACGAGCAUUUAAACCCCAUUUGAGGAUGCUUCCAGACAGAUGAUAUAUAGCACAUUCGACCAGCAUCGUACUUCAAUAAAAUAUAUGGAACGAGAACGGGAAUGUAAACGCGACUUUGCGAGGUACAGAGUACAUAGUAGGUGUAGAUUUCUGUAAUUGCUUAGUUAGUAUGAAAUAUGUUUUCUCAUGUUAUGGCUUGUAAACUAAGAAGCAAUUAGUAAAUGGAAGCACAGAGGACAUCAAAUAAUUAAAGAAACCCUGAAGAAAAAUUGAAAUGAAAAAGCAAACUCACUAGAAGAAAAUAGAAAUGAGGUGGUACUCUUCUUGUAGAUGAUCGACCUUGUUGAAAUAGCUUAUUUCUUUC